ensembl:lncRNA
CUCCAUGCCUCCACUGUAGGGGGCCUGGGUUUGAUCCUGCACAAUUGCACUCAUCUCACACGCUAGUAAAGUAAUGCUCAAAAUUCUUCAAGCCAGGCUUCAGCAAUACUUGAACCGUGAACUUCCAGAUGUUCAAGCUGGUUUUCGAAAAGGCAGAGGAACCAUAGAUCAAAUUGCCAACAUCCGCUGGAUCAUCGAAAAAGCAAGAGAGUUCCAGAAAACAUCUAUUUCUGCUUUAUUGACUAUGCCAAAGCCUUUGACUGUGUGGAUCACAAUAAACUGUGGAAAAUUCUCAAAGAGAUGGGAAUACCAGACCACCUAACCUGCCUCUUGAGAAAUCUGUAUGCAGGUCGGGAAGCAACAGUUAGAACUGGACAGGGAACAACAGACUGGUUCCAAAUAGGAAAAGGAGUCUGUCAAGGCUGCAUAUUGUCACCCUGCUUAUUUAAGUUAUAUGCAGAGUACAUCAUGAGAAACGCUGGGCUGGAAGAAGCACAAGCUGGAAUCUAGAUUGCCAGGAGAAAUAUCAAUAACCUCAGAUAUGCAGAUGACACCACCCUUAUGGCAGAAAGUGAAGAACUAAAGAGCCUCUUGAUGAAAGUGAAAGAGGAGAGUGAAAAAGUUGACUUAAAGCUCAACAUUCAGAAAACAAAGAUCAUGGCAUCCAGUCCCAUCACUUCAUGAGAAAUAGAUGGGAAACAGUGGAAACAGUGGCUGACUUCACUUUUCUGGGCUCCAAAAUCACUGCACAUGGUGAUUGCAGCCAUGAAAUUAAAAGACACUCCUUGGAAGGAAAGUUAUGACCAAUCUAGUUUCAAAGUACUUCCCCAACAAAUACUGAUUCAUUACAAAGAGGAAAAGAGUAACUGGUACAUGACAAAGUCUAGCAGAAAUCCCCUUAAUCAAGUAAUCAAAGUGAACCCUGGGACAAAUGGAAAUGGGUCCUCCCUGAUAUAUCAGGGUGUAUCAAGAACACAGCAUCACUUCCAGGGACAGUCCUAGUAGGAUACUAACCUGAGUCUAAUCACAAAAAAGCCACGGACAAAACCCAAUAGAAAACCAUGCUACAAAAUAACAACUCUUCAAAAGUGUCAAGAUUGUGAAAGGGGAGGACAGACUGAGGAUAAGUUUUCCUGACCAACAGAGGCUGAAGUGGGGCUUCCUCGGUGGCUCAGCGGUAAAGAAUCCACCUGCAAUGCAGGAGAUGCAGGUUCGAUCCCUGGGUCGGGAAGAUCCCCUGGAGAAGGGCACGGCAACCCACUCCAGUGUUCUUGCCUGGAGAUCUAAUGGGCGGAGGAGCCUGGCGGGCUGCAGUCCAUGGAGUUGCAAAGAAUCAGACACGACUAAGCAGCUAAACAAGAGGCUGAAGUCUCAUGGUGAAGAAUCGCAGCGUGUGAUUCUGGACUGAGUCCUUUCACUACAGUGAUUUCCCUGGAGCAUUUGAUGAAACUUAUUAAAAGGAAUUGCACACUAAAGUAUUUGGGGGUGCUGGGGCUCAGGUUGGCAACUUACUUUCAAAUUAUUCAAGGUAAGAAAAGUUCCCUGUACUAUACUUGCAACCUUUCUGUGUCAGGCAGGAUCUUAGUUCCUUGGCAGGGAUCGAACUCACGCCCCCUACAGCGGAAGCAGAGUCUUAACCACUGGACCACCAGGGAAGUCCCAACAACUUUUCUGUGUUAGCAUUGGCUUCAAAAUAAAUAUCACUAACAUGUGAAGAGAUGAGUAAAGAGUGCACGAAAAAUAUGUUGGCAAUUAUUGCCAGGCACUUCAUCAGUAAAAGUACUUUGGUGUUCUUCUGGGUUUGUGAUGUCUGUAUUUUUGGUCAGCUUAUUUUAGUUUAUAAAUUGUACUAACUUGUUUUUUCAUUUAUUAAAUGUUCACUUUCACAACUGAUUUUUCUACUCUUAAAGAAGGCCCUACAAAAUCAUACGAGUUUCAGUCCCCAUAAAACCAAU